CCGCAUGGCCCUCGGGUGGGCUCCGGCGCUGGGCUGCCACGCUUAGAGCUGGCACUGCCACCACCCCCGCCCCGCAGCGCGGAGCAGGGUCCCCACGCCGCCCCGGGACCCAUGGGGGCAGCCGGGGGGCAGCGGGCGGUGGGGCUGGGGGGCACAGGGCACUGGGCAGGAUUUUAGCCAGGCUUCGCCAGGACCCACCCGCUGCCAUGAGAGACUUCACCGAAAUCACGCUUUGCCCCGAGGCUCUGGAUGGCAGCAAGACCGAGUUCUGCAACCCCGUUUUCGAGGGCGAGGAGCCCCGGGAGGCACCGAGCGAGGAGCAGCCACCGGACAAGGAUGGGACGGAACCCGAACCACGGCGGGACGGCCUCGGCCAGCAGCUCUGGGCACAGGCGGGCUGGAGGUACCGCGCCGACUGCAAGUUCACCUGGCUCUGCGUGGCUCUGAUGAGCGCCAUCCUGCUCUUCCUCAUCGCCCUCCUGCUCGGCAUCCUCACCCACCGUGAGUGCCGAGCGGGAGGGAGGUGGC
rnacentral:lncRNA from 1 species